rnacentral:rRNA from 1 species
CCCUUAGAUGUUCUGGGCCGCACGCGCGCUACACUGAUGCAUUCAACGAGUUUCUUCCUGGUCCGAGAGGAAUGGGUAGCCUUUUGAAAGUGCAUCGUGAUAGGGAUAGACUAUUGCAAUUAUUGGUCUUCAACGAGGAAUUCCUAGUAGACGUAGUUCAUCAGACUGCAUCGAUUACGUCCCUGCCCUUUGUACACACCGCCCGUCGCUCCUACCGAUUGAAUGCUCAGGUGAGCCAUUCGGACCUUCAUCAUGCCGGUUUCCGGUUUUGAUGAGGGAAAGUCUUGCGAACCUUAUCAUUUAGAGGAAGGAGAAGUCGUAACA